GAUGAACGCUGGCGGCGUGCCUAAUACAUGCAAGUCGAGCGAACAGACGAGGAGCUUGCUCCUCUGACGUUAGCGGCGGACGGGUGAGUAACAAGUGGAUAACCUACCUAUAAGACUGGGAUAACUUCGGGAAACCGGAGCUAAUACCGGAUAAUAUAUUGAACCGCAUGGUUCAAUAGUGAAAGACGGUUUUGCUGUCACUUAUAGAUGGAUCCGCGCCGCAUUAGCUAGUUGGUAAGGUAACGGCUUACCAAGGCGACGAUGCGUAGCCGACCUGAGAGGGUGAUCGGCCACACUGGAACUGAGACACGGUCCAGACUCCUACGGGAGGCAGCAGUAGGGAAUCUUCCGCAAUGGGCGAAAGCCUGACGGAGCAACGCCGCGUGAGUGAUGAAGGUCUUCGGAUCGUAAAACUCUGUUAUUAGGGAAGAACAAAUGUGUAAGUAACUAUGCACGUCUUGACGGUACCUAAUCAGAAAGCCACGGCUAACUACGU
rnacentral:rRNA from 1 species